GAAGAUUUAGUUAAAUUCAUAACAUUAGAAUGUCACACUAAAAUUAUUUUCAAAAUAUUCUUCC
rnacentral:tRNA from 1 species